rnacentral:rRNA from 1 species
GACGAACCGUGCGAAUGUUGUUCGGAAUCACUGGGCUUAAAGGGAGCGUAGGCGGGCUAUCAAGUCUGGGGUGAAAUGCCGCGGCUCAACCGUGGAACUGCCUUAGAUACUGACGGCCUCGAGGGAGAUAGGGGCAUGCGGAACUGUAGGUGGAGCGGUGAAAUGCGUUGAUAUCUACAGGAACUCCGGUGGCGAAAGCGGCGUGCUGGAUCUCUUCUGACGCUGAGGCUCGAAAGCUAGGGGAGCAAAC